CUGACUGACCGAUAGUGAACCAGUACCGUGAGGGAAAGGCGAAAAGAACCCCGGCGAGGGGAGUGAAAAAGAACCUGAAACCGUGUACGUACAAGCAGUGGGAGCACGCUUAGGCGUGUGACUGCGUACCUUUUGUAUAAUGGGUCAGCGACUUAUAUUCUGUAGCAAGGUUAACCGAAUAGGGGAGCCGAAGGGAAACCGAGUCUUAACUGGGCGUUAAGUUGCAGGGUAUAGACCCGAAACCCGGUGAUCUAGCCAUGGGCAGGUUGAAGGUUGGGUAACACUAACUGGAGGACCGAACCGACUAAUGUUGAAAAAUUAGCGGAUGACUUGUGGCUGGGGGUGAAAGGCCAAUCAAACCGGGAGAUAGCUGGUUCUCCCCGAAAGCUAUUUAGGUAGCGCCUCGUGAAUUCAUCUCCGGGGGUAGAGCACUGUUUCGGCAAGGGGGUCAUCCCGACUUACCAACCCGAUGCAAACUGCGAAUACCGGAGAAUGUUAUCACGGGAGACACACGGCGGGUGCUAACGUCCGUCGUGAAGAGGGAAACAACCCAGACCGCCAGCUAAGGUCCCAAAGUCAUGGUUAAGUGGGAAACGAUGUGGGAAGGCCCAGACAGCCAGGAUGUUGGCUUAGAAGCAGCCAUCAUUUAAAGAAAGCGUAAUAGCUCACUGGUCGAGUCGGCCUGCGCGGAAGAUGUAACGGGGCUAAACCAUGCACCGAAGCUGCGGCAGCGACGCUGAUGCGUUGUUGGGUAGGGGAGCGUUCUGUAAGCCUGCGAAGGUGUGCUGUGAGGCAUGCUGGAGGUAUCAGAAGUGCGAAUGCUGACAUAAGUAACGAUAAAGCGGGUGAAAAGCCCGCUCGCCGGAAGACCAAGGGUUCCUGUCCAACGUUAAUCGGGGCAGGGUGAGUCGACCCCUAAGGCGAGGCCGAAAGGCGUAGUCGAUGGGAAACAGGUUAAUAUUCCUGUACUUGGUGUUACUGCGAAGGGGGGACGGAGAAGGCUAUGUUGGCCGGGCGACGGUUGUCCCGGUUUAAGCGUGUAGGCUGGUUUUCCAGGCAAAUCCGGAAAAUCAAGGCUGAGGCGUGAUGACGAGG
rnacentral:rRNA from 1 species